AGAGUUUGAUCAUGGCUCAGAACGUACGCUGGCGGCACGCCUAACACAUGCAAGUCGAACGAAGUAGCAAUACUUAGUGGCAGACGGGUGAGUAACAUGUAGGUAUCUGCCCUUUGGCCUGGAAUAACACGAGGAAACUUGUGCUAAUACCGGAUAAGUCUUUACGGAGAAAGCUUUAUGCACCAUUGGAUGAGCCUGCACUUGAUUAGUUUGUUGGUGGGGUAAUGGCCUACCAAGACUGUGAUCAAUAGCUGAUUUGAGAGGAUGAUCAGCCACAUUGGGACUGAGACACGGCCCAAACUCCUACGGGAGGCAGCAGUGGGGAAUCUUGCACAAUGGAGGCAACUCUGAUGCAGCGAUGCCGCGUGAGUGAGGAAGGCCUUUGGGUUGUAAAGCUCUUUCGUCGGGGAAGAAAAUGACUGUACCCGAAUAAGAAGGUCCGGCUAACUUCGUGCCAGCAGCCGCGGUAAUACGAAGGGACCUAGCGUAGUUCGGAAUUACUGGGCUUAAAGAGUUCGUAGGUGGUUGAAAAAGUUAGUGGUGAAAUCCCAGAGCUUAACUCUGGAACUGCCAUUAAAACUUUUCAGCUAGAGUAUGAUAGAGGAAAGCAGAAUUUCUAGUGUAGAGGUGAAAUUCGUAGAUAUUAGAAAGAAUACCAAUUGCGAAGGCAGCUUUCUGGAUCAUUACUGACACUGAGGAACGAAAGCAUGGGUAGCGAAGAGGAUUAGAUACCCUCGUAGUCCAUGCCGUAAACGAUGUGUGUUAGACGUUGGAAAUUUAUUUUCAGUGUCGCAGGGAAACCGAUAAACACACCGCCUGGGGAGUACGACCGCAAGGUUAAAACUCAAAUGAAUUGACGGGGACUCGCACAAGUAGUGGAGCAUGUGGUUUAAUUCGAAGAUACGCGCAGAACCUUACCAACACUUGACAUGUUCGUCGCGACUCUGAGAGAUUAGAGUUUUCGGUUCGGCCGGACGAAACACAGGUGCUGCAUGGCUGUCGUCAGCUCGUGUCGUGAGAUGUUGGGUUAAGUCCCGCAACGAGCGCAACCCUCACUUUUAGUUGCCAUCAUUAAGUUGGGCACUCUGAAAGAACUGCCAGUGAUAAGCUGGAGGAAGGUGGGGAUGACGUCAAGUCCUCAUGGCCCUUACGUGUUGGGCUACACACGUGCUACAAUGGUAUCUACAACAGGAAGCAAGACUGCGAAGUUAAGCAAAUCCCUAAAAGAUACCUCAGUUCGGAUUGCACUCUGCAACUCGAGUGCAUGAAGCUGGAAUUACUAGUAAUCGUGGAUCAGCGUGCCACGGUGAA
rnacentral:rRNA from 1 species